UCCGGGCGGACGCCGAGUCCUGCCGCCGUCCGGAUGACCGGUCGACAGAAGUGCACCGGCAGGAGUGGAGGACCCAAGCACGACGGGUCGCCGGAGCGGUCAAGCCAUGACCGUGCCGAGCAGCCCUUGGGGUGAAGCCGCAUCCGCGGCCGGGCAACUUCGCCAGCCCGAAUCCGACAGGUCAUCCUUCACAGGCGGCUGACGAAGGGUUG
rfam:Streptomyces ipomoeae 91-03 gcontig_1108499708043, whole genome shotgun sequence.